UACCCCGUGGUGUAAUUGGUAACACAAGGGAUUUUGGUUCCCUCGUUUAAGGUUCGAGUCCUUACGGGGUAA
rnacentral:tRNA from 1 species